rnacentral:rRNA from 1 species
GACGAACGCUGGCGGCGUGCUUAACACAUGCAAGUCGAACGGAAAGGCCUUGCUUUUGUGGGGUGCUCGAGUGGCGAACGGGGGAGUAACACGUGAGUAACCUGCCCUUGACUUUGGGAUAACUUCAGGAAACUGGGGCUAAUACCGGAUAGGAGCUCCUGCUGCAUGGUGGGGGGUGGAAAGUUUCGGCGGUUGGGGCUGGACUCGCGGCUUAUCAGCUUGUUGGUAGGGUAGUGGCUUACCAAGGCUUUGACGGGUAGCCGGCCUGAGAGGGUGACCGGCCACAUUGGGACUGAGAUACGGCCCAGACUCCUACGGGAGGCAGCAGUGGGGAAUAUUGCACAAUGGGCGGAAGCCUGAUGCAGCAACGCCGCGUGCGGGAUGACGGCCUUCGGGUUGUAAACCGCUUUCGCCUGUGACGAAGCGUGAGUGACGGUAAUGGGUAAAGAAGCACCGGCUAACUACGUGCCAGCCGCCGCAGUAA